rnacentral:rRNA from 2 species
UCGAACGAUGAACCGCUUCGGUGGGGAUUAGUGGCGAACGGGUGAGUAACACGUGGGCAAUCUGCCCUGCACUCUGGGACAAGCCCUGGAAACGGGGUCUAAUACCGGAUGAUACUGCGGACCGCAUGGUCUGUGGUUGAAAGCUCCGGCGGUGCAGGAUGGGCCCGCGGCCUAUCAGCUUGUUGGUGAGGUAAUGGCUCACCAAGGCGACGACGGGUAGCCGGCCUGAGAGGGCGACCGGCCACACUGGGACUGAGACACGGCCCAGACUCCUACGGGAGGCAGCAGUGGGGAAUAUUGCACAAUGGGCGAAAGCCUGAUGCAGCGACGCCGCGUGAGGGAUGACGGCCUUCGGGUUGUAAACCUCUUUCAGCAGGGAAGAAGCGAAAGUGACGGUACCUGCAGAAGAAGCGCCGGCUAACUACGUGCCAGCAGCCGCGGUAAUACGUAGGGCGCAAGCGUUGUCCGGAAUUAUUGGGCGUAAAGAGCUCGUAGGCGGCUUGUCGCGUCGGUUGUGAAAGCCCGGGGCUUAACCCCGGGUCUGCAGUCGAUACGGGCAGGCUAGAGUUCGGUAGGGGAGAUCGGAAUUCCUGGUGUAGCGGUGAAAUGCGCAGAUAUCAGGAGGAACACCGGUGGCGAAGGCGGAUCUCUGGGCCGAUACUGACGCUGAGGAGCGAAAGCGUGGGGAGCGAACAGGAU